UUCCAAUGCAAGAUAAAGAUACCAUAAGACAGAGACAGGGACUACUUUGUCUUAUGGGCAAGCCUGAGGUUGACAAAAGGCACUGUCAACUUUUGUCCAUUCUCAGCAGCUGUCAUAUGUAACGAUUGUGGGAAGCAGACUUGCUCAUCCCGACAAGUGAUAUAUGGCGGCUCCCGCGGUCUCUUCAUGAGAGCACAGAUGCAGCUCCUGGCCAAAAACUGAAGAAUUUCAGCAGUAAAAAGAUGGUUGCAGCUGUGAGGGGCAGCUUCAGGUAAGUAAACCCUUCACUGCAUCCCCUGGUCACUGGAAC